rnacentral:rRNA from 1 species
CAGUCGCCACGGGAAUACGUAGGUGGCAAGCGUUGUCCGGAAUUAUUGGGCGUAAAGCGCGCGCAGGCGGAUCAGUUAGUCUGUCUUAAAAGUUCGGGGCUUAACCCCGUGAUGGGAUGGAAACUGCUGAUCUAGAGUAUCGGAGAGGAAAGUGGAAUUCCUAGUGUAGCGGUGAAAUGCGUAGAUAUUAGGAAGAACACCAGUGGCGAAGGCGACUUUCUGGACGAAAACUGACGCUGAGGCGCGAAAGCCAGGGGAGCGAACGGGAUUAGAUACCCGAGUAGUCCCUGUCUCUUAUACA